UGCACAGUACUGAUAUCACAUCUAAAUAGACAAGACUCCCAACAAGAUGAUGAUAGCGCGUCAGAUCAAACAAAGGUGGAUGUUGAGCUCCAUGGGAGUUUCAUGCCACUUGAGAGGAUGAAGGCUCUAGCAACAUCGUGCGAGAGGCAUCGGCGCUAGCGAGUUUGCCACCAUCCUAGCCACGACGACAAUGCUGCAGAGCAUAUAGUAGGAAAGUGGAGCGACGAUGCCGCGGGAGGAGGUGCACUCGAACGGGGGGCAUUGCACUGCAGUCUGUUUCUUCUUUCGGGCAAGUGCCAGGCAGAUAAACAAGGCUUGCAACAAAAUGUCGAUAAAGCGCCAUAUCAGACAGUAGGUCAACAUCACUAGCAGGGAGGUGAACAUUAAGCUCCAUGGGAGUCUCAACAUGCGCUCAUUAGUAAGAGCAGCGCUCCAUGGGAGUCUCAACAUGCGCUCAUUAGUAAGAGCAGCGCGAGUAAGAAGAUCCUAAAUUAUUACUUUUGAGCAAGAAUGGACCUCAAUCCCAAGAAAGUAGUAGAGGGCCAAGAUAAGACAUAAGAAAGUGGGAGCAAAAAUGAAGUGACUUAGAAUGAGAACGUGGUAUGAAAUGUCUAGACGAGUGACAUCUAAAUAGACAAGACUCCUAACAAGAUGAUGAUAGCGCGCCAGAUCAAACAAAGGUGGAUGUUGAGCUCCAUGGGAGUUUCAUGCCACUUGAGAGGAUGAAGGCUCUAGCAACAUCGUGCGAGAGGCAUCGGCGCUAGCGAUUUUGCCACCAUCCUAGCCACGGCGACAAUGCCGCGGAGCAUAUAGUAGGAAAGUGGAGCGAUGACGCCGCGGGAGGAGGUGCACUCGAACGGGGGGCACUGCACUGUAGUCUGUUUCUUUCGGGCAAGUGCCAGGCAGAUAAACAAGGCUUGCAACAAAAUGUCGAUGAAGCGCCAGAUCAGACAGUAGGUCAACAUCACUAAUAGGGAGGUGAACAUUGAGCUCCAUGGGAGUCUCAACAUGCGCUCAUUAGUAAGAGCAGCGCGAGUCAGAAGAUCCUAAAUUAUUACUUUUGAGCAGGAAGGGAACUCAAUCCCAAGAAAGUAGCAGAGGGGGCCAAGAUAAGACAUAAGAAACUGCAUACUAAGACAUGCCUUAACAAAGGCAAAUAUACUCAUGGUCUGCGUCAGUGAUGAUCAUGUCAUCAAUAUAUAGAAGAAGAGUCGUACCAGGAGCAGAAAGGAGGACAAACAACGUUGGAUCAUGAGCACUCGAUGAAAACCAACAACAACCACCAUAGAGGCAAAACGCUCAAACCAGGUGUGAGGGGCUUGCUUAGAGCCAUAGUGAGCGAUGAAGACGACAAAUCAUGUCGUAAGGAGUAGAAUACCCAGUGGUGGUUGUAUGUAAACCUCCUCACGCAACUCACCAUUAAGAAAUGCAUUCUUAACAUCAAGCCUAGACACAGAUCAGUGGCGAACAGAGGCCAUAAUAAGAAGUGUGCGAACAGUGGUCAAAGAAAGUCUCAUCGUAAUCAGGACCAUGCUCGUGCUGAAAGCCAUGACCCACAACACGAGCUUUGUAACGCCCAAGAGAACCAUUAGAGUGAGUCCUAACCUUGUAGACCCACAAAGUGAUGGGAUGAACACGAGGAGGAACAUACACAAUAUCCCACGUGCCGAUGCGCUCAAGAGCAGCAGUCUCCUCUGCCAUCACAAGGUGCCAUUUGGUAUGAACAACAUCACAGUAAGAAGUUGGCUCAAGAACAGCAUCGCCAACGCUUGGAAGACAUUGGCGGUCAACAUGCCAAAGCGGACGAGGACGCAAGCCAUAAGUAGGCUGAAAUGGGGAAGAUGGCACAUCGGUAGACGCAUCCACAACACGUAGAUGUCCUAUAUAGAAGUUAGGAAAAGAUGGAAGAAUACGAGCUGGAAUCAUCGGGAUAAACUUAGGUGAUGGAGACAAGGAAGCCACCAGUGAUGAAGGUGUAGAAUCAUGUGAUAAGUGAGGUGAGGAAAUCAUAGGAGAUGAUGGCGUUGGUUCUACAAUAAUCAGAGAAGAGUGUCGGGAAA
rnacentral:lncRNA from 1 species